GCCGCCGCCGCGGGCUGGGAGUGCAGGCCGGAGCGCGACGCGCCGGAGGUGGCCGGGCCCAGCCUGGCGCCCCUUUUAAUUAUUAUUUGCUGCUGCUUUCUGCAGGACACGUGCUGGCAUCAUUGGAGUGCCCCCGCCCGGCCACAACACACCGUGCUGCCACGAGCCAGGCGCCACGCUGCUUUGUCUGUUACCACAGCAACCUCAUGCGAGAGAGACACCACAGUUCCCAUUUUAAUCAUGAGGAAAUGGAGGCUAAAGAAGGUGAGUAGCUUGUCCAGCCAUCUCCACCUGGGAACUGGAGACCAGAGCUCAAAUCCCAGCAUUGCAACUUCACUUCCUUGCCCUUAGUGCCUGUUCUGCCUCCCUGAGGAAAGUGACAUACAUUUUAUGUAUAGGUAUAGUAGGUGUGUGUGUCACAAGUCAUGUUUGUCACAGAAUGUAUGUCUCUACAUAUUGGUCCUUAGCUUAUUCUGCUAUAUUUGUUCCGAAACACGUGUGAAGUGUGAGGUGACAUUCAGCUGUCACAUGGGACUGUGAGGAGCCAUACACUGUGCUGGCCAUGGGACACAGCCGCAUUAAAAGCAGCUUCUGCAAAGAAAGAGCCAGAACUAGCGCAUGAGACAGACAUGACAGCCCCGCAGGAGAUGGGCGAGGAGGAGCAGGUCCCAGGGAGCACGGGGCCACCACCAAGGAUGACCUGGGGACUCCUGCAGAAGGAACCAGUGCUUCCAGCUGAGGCAGGUGGAUACUUCUGAAAAUAACUGCACAGGAAAUGAAGGAUGUCAUUGGAUUUAAAGACCUAAAAAGUGGUGUUAUUCACCCAAAGCUCAAACAUCCUCACUGGUGUCCGGGUUUGCUCCACAAACACCUGAGCCCUUGUCAUGCACCAUCUGCUCCACGGGGCACUGGAGGGGUGACAGGCAGCAAGGCCCUCAGGCCCAGCCUUCUGUUGAGUACAGUGGCCCAUCCAUAGCUGUUGAGGCUCACAUUAGAAACGCAAGUCCUGUCACACUGGCCACAUUUCAAUGAGAAGUGCCCACGUGUGGUUAGUGGCUGUGGCACUGGACAAUGGGGAGAACAUUCCCUCCCACAGGAAGUGUUCUGCCGGGCAGCACCUGUCUCACCGCAAUGAUGGACGCUGAGGCAUUAUCAGACUUGAGCUGUCAGCUCCAAAGACGCAGCACAGGCUCCUACGAGCUGCAUGGCUGGUCGGAAGGUGGUGAGUCAUUUCCUGAUGGCUCACAGUUCGUUAUAGAUGGACUCCCCAUUACGGACUCUUUCUUAUAGACCUGUUUCUCACAGACCCCGUUACAGACUCUUUCCUCCUCUCACCACUGCACUUGUCUAAAAAAGCUGUAACAAGAGAACCUCUGGGCCGGGCAUGGUGGCUCACGCCUGUAAUCCUAGCACUCUAGAAGGUCGAGGCGGGCAGAUUGCUUGAGGU